UACGUAGGGUGCGAGCGUUAAUCGGAAUUACUGGGCGUAAAGCGUGCGCAGGCGGUUAUUUAAGUCAGGUGUGAAAGCCCUGGGCUUAACCUAGGAAUUGCGCUUGAGACUGGAUAGCUUGGAGUGCGGCAGAGGGAGGUGGAAUUCCACGUGUAGCAGUGAAAUGCGUAGAGAUGUGGAGGAACACCGAUGGCGAAGGCAGCCCCCUGGGUCAAGAUUGACGCUCAUGCACGAAAGCGUGGGGAGCAAACAGG
rnacentral:rRNA from 1 species